CUGGGCCUCAUCCCCUCUGCCAUUUUCACCAAGGAAGAAAAGAAGUCGUCGUUGUCCGACUCGUUGCCGUUCUGGAGACUCAUCAUCAUCUUCAUCUUCUGAAGCUUCUGGAGCUCGGCCAUGGCCGCUGCUAACCGAUCGUCCGACCGCCGAGGACUCGAGGAGCUGCGGCGUUCGACCAGGAACUUUUCCUGAACGAGCGGUUUUGCAGAAAUCCCUCAGCUUUGACGCUGUCAGGUUCAGUGUCGAGUGUGAGCGACAGACAGGCUCGUUCUGAACGUCACAUGACCACAUGACGAAGGAGACGUGAGGAAGACGAGUGAGGAAGGAUGAGGAGAAUUUCGACAGAAAAGAGAAGUGAAUCGUCAGCUAAACGUGAAAGUUGCCAACUGAGAAGUCGAAAGGAUUGCCCCGAUUAAUCAAAGCCGCAACAAAUAAGACUCGAGGCCGAGAUUAGUUUAAUUAUGUU